AGUAAUGUAUGGGGAUCUGCCCGAUAGAGGGGAAUAACUACUGGAAACGGUGGCUAAUACCGCAUAAUGUCUACGGACCAAAGCAGGGGCUCUUCGGACCUUGCACUAUCGGAUGAACCCAUAUGGGAUUAGCUAGUAGGUGGGGUAAAGGCUCACCUAGGCGACGAUCUCUAGCUGGUCUGAGAGGAUGAUCAGCCACACUGGGACUGAGACACGGCCCGG
rnacentral:rRNA from 1 species